rnacentral:lncRNA from 1 species
GGGCAAAAAAUGCAAUUUUGGGGCUCCAGGGGGAGAUUUUGGGGUGAAUUGGGCAGAUUUUGGGGUCAAAGAUUCCGAUUUUGGGAAUCCAGGGGAGAUUUUGGGUGGAAAAAUGGCGAUUUGGGGACAAAAGGUUCCGAUUUGGGGUUUUGGGGGACAGAUUUUGGGGCAAAAAUGGCGAUUUGGGGGUGAGAAAGUUUGGAAUUUGGGGCCAAAAGUCGCAAUUUGUGGGUGGUUGGGGACAGGUUUUGGGGCCAAAAGUGGCGAUUUUGGAGCACAAGGUUCCGAUUUGGGGUGAAAAAAUGCUAUUUUGGGGGUCCAGGGAGAGAUUUUGGGGGAAAUUGUGCAGAUUUGGGGUGAAAAAGUUUUGAUUUGGGAGCAAAAUGUUCCGAUUUGGGGUUUUGGGGACAGAUUUUGGGGUAAAAAGUGGCGAUUUGGGGCAGAAAGAACAGAUUUGGGGCAAAAAGUUCCUAUUUGGGGUUUUUGGGGACAAUUUUGGGCAUAAAGUGGCGAUUUGGGACCAAAAAAAUCCAGAUUUGGGGCAAAAAUCCAGAUUUGGGGAGAUUUGGGGAUGAUAAAGUUCAGAAUUUGGGGCAAAAUGUUGGGAUUUGGGGAUUUUUGUGGCCAGAAUUUGGGGCCAAAAGUGCAGAUUUGGGGAUUUGGGGGCAGAGAUUUGGGUGGAAAAGGUUCCGAUUUGGGCCAAAAGCCGCAGAUUUGGGGUGAAAAAAGGAUAUUUUGGGGCUGCAGGGACAGAUUUGGGGGGGAAAAGUUCCAGUUUGGGGCCAAAUGUUCCAAUUUUGGGAUUUGUGGGAGAGAAAUGUGGGAAAAGGGCGAUUUUGGGGCGAAAAGUUGCGAUUUUGGGGAUUUCAGGGGAGAUGUUGGGUGGAAAAAUGGCGAUUUUGGGGCAAAAGGUUCCGAUUUGGGGUUUUGGGGGAGAGAUUUGGGGGCAAACUGUGCAGAUUUGGGGCCAAAAGUUCCCGUUUGGGGAUUUUGGGGCCCAAAGUUGCGAUUUUGGGGUAAAAAAUUGGGGAUUUGGGGGCAGAAAACGAACAUUUUUUGG